rnacentral:tRNA from 1 species
GGGCCUGUAGCUCAGAGGAUUAGAGCGCGUGGCUACGAACCACGGUGCCGGGGGUUCGAAUCCCUCCUCGCCCA